rnacentral:rRNA from 1 species
GAAGGGUGCAAGCGUUACUCGGAAUUACUGGGCGUAAAGCGUGCGUAGGUGGUUAUUUAAGUCCGUUGUGAAAGCCCUGGGCUCAACCUGGGAACUGCAGUGGAUACUGGAUGACUAGAGUGUGGUAGAGGGUAGCGGAAUUCCUGGUGUAGCAGUGAAAUGCGUAGAGAUCAGGAGGAACAUCCAUGGCGAAGGCAGCUACCUGGACCAACAUUGACACUGAGGCACGAAAGCGUGGGGAGCAAACAGGAUUAGAUACCCUGGUAGUCCACGCCCUAAACGAUGCGAACUGGAUGUUGGGUGCAAUUUGGCACGCAGUAUCGAAGCUAACGCGUUAAGCUCGCCGCCUGGGGAGUACGGUCGCAAGACUGAA